rnacentral:ribozyme from 13 species
UUUUUUUUUUUUUUUUUUUUUUUUUUUUUUUUUUUUUUCACCCCCCAAG